CACCUCUCAGGGUCGCACCUGCAUAGUUUUCAUUACUCUACCAGUCUUGACUACAGGAGGAAGAUUCAAGCAGAGGCCUACCCAUUCCAUUCCUAGCUUGGCCAGUGGCUAGCGAAUGGAAGACCAUCUGCUACAAGU